GUAAAUGCAAACAUGGUACUUACUUAAAAAUAGUAAAUUGACCUUAAUCAGUUUUUAUCAACCUGCUUUUAACACUUGCUUUUAGUGAGUUACUUGUACUUUGAGGUUGAAAAAUCUUACCAGCUCAGUCUACGUGAGCUGGAUUAAUAUAGAAAAAGUAAGUUUAUGACAUGUGGACAUGCGCAGAUCAGUCCUCUCUGACAUGCCUAAACCCAACCAAUCAAGGUGCUUCGUGGGGCGGGUCUUGGAUUUGCGGGAAUCGAAAUUUUGCAGACGGUCGUUAUGUCACCUCACCACAUGCUGCAACUGACCAGGUGGAGCUGGACCUAAACAUCGCUUCUACGGCACUUGUGAUUAUCUUCAGCCGAUAUUAUUUUGCUUGGCACACUCAUUUGGUGAGUAAAUAUUUUACCCGUGUGCACAUCGUUUUGUUUCUGUAAGUCAGCCCCAGUGUUUUGUGCUUGAUAUGCGUGUAGUAAUGUCUGCUUACGCUAGCUAACUAUAUAUUAUAGACAUAACGUGGCUAUAUUUUGCUGAAACUUGGUAAAUACUUUAUUUUUUCAAUCCACAACUUCCUCGGUGUUGAAAAUUGGUAAGUUAAGACUUUUGACACGUUGAAAUUCAGGAAUAACUUCAGUGUUAUGCGGCGCCUCAAGAAUCGACAGCGGGAUGACGUCAAAGUAUCGCGAGAGCGAGACGAAAUAAGAUUUGCUUGAAUCAUUCUCGCGGUACUUUGACGUCAUCCGGCUGUCGGUUCUUGCGGCGCCGCAUGAAGUCGAAGAAGCAUAGUAAGGCUCAAGCAGAAUGGUAAUCAAUCCUCCUCACAUUCCAUAAUCCCAGCAAUAAAAGAUACUGUGGACAGUCCAUCAUACCCAGGACUACAGUAUCCUAGAUGCCAACCACAUAAUGGAAGAAAUGAAGAAAAAACAACCAAAUGUGGCACUCUCAUUUCACAAAUGAUGGACCAAUCAUUCCCACUAUGCAGACAAGAAAUUGUAAAAAACAAGGGCCUGCUGUACAGAACAUGGUUAAACGAUGGCCAGCACUUUUCACAGAGAGACGGGUGUUUGCUGAGUUUAAUAGAAUCGCCAGUAAGAAUCUUGAGGGAGACUUGAGGCUUUGGACCAGUAUUCCCCACGUUUCAUCAAACUUUUCAAAACCAAAAGGGAAACUUAAGGACUGAGUUGGCCAGAAACUCAAGGAGCUGAUGCAGCACAUGAGCUGGCUGACACAAGACGUGACAGUACUUCGCUCAUUUGUCCUCAAAGGCAUGACGACUCCAGUGAAUUCUACAAGACCUGCUCUGAUGCAGCGAGAGACAAGGCUCUAGAACGCAUCACUGUUGGUGUCCUGACGGUUGUCAGUGAAGAUAGUCCUCACGAAGCUUAGUGGUCCUCCAGCCCAUCUCCACUGCCAUCAUUCUGGAGGGAGGUAUUGUUAUGGAUAAUGUUAAGAACUUGCCUCAAGUCUUUUGUUUGGGCUUACAUAUGCAUUGCAUUUGGAUUACCCAAAAUGCAUGGCAAAUACACUCAACUUCAUUCAGACUGUGAUGCUUGGACUGGGAAAGAAAAACCUCCCACCAAAACGGUUGACUCUGAAGAACAGUCUUCUGGGUUAGAACAAUAAAGAGCUGUCAGAUAGCACUUUGUAAGCUUUGCAGCUAUUAAUGUUCUCCUGUUAUUAGACACAGUUUGAUGUUUUCAUGCAACUGUAUUUGCUUCUGAUCUUAAUAAAAAAAGAAAUUCUAUUAAAGUCUGUAAUGUUAUGCAGGUAUGCUAAUGUUGGAAACAGAGCCACCGUGUUUUAUUAAGAGUUGUUUAUUAAGUGUUAGUAUUAGAUAAUAAUGUCAGAAAAUAACCUACCACGGUUGUCCUGUUAACAUUUGUGUUUUAGGAAAGCUUUUUAUAGUUGUAAUGUAGUACAAAUACAAACCCCAAGGAGUGAUGUUUUUGUUUGUGUUGCUUUAAUCCUUUCACUGCUCACUUUGGGACACAAAAGCAUUUGUUGUACUUUCAGUUUAAAAUGCAAUUUUUAACUGAAUACAUUUUUUAAAUGUAAAAAAAGUUAAAUUUUAACUGUCUACAUUUAAAUAAACCACAACUUUGUUUAGCUGCUGUUAUGUACGUGAAUGUGCAUUGAAUAAAUGAUGUAAUGUAGCUGAA